CCUACGGGAGGCAGCAGUGGGGAAUAUUGGGCAAUGGACGCAAGUCUGACCCAGCAACGCCGCGUGAAGGAAGAAGGCUUUCGGGUUGUAAACUUCUUUUAAGGGGGAAGAGCAGAAGACGGUACCCCUUGAAUAAUCCACGGCUAACUACGUGCCAGCAGCCGCGGUAAUACGUAGGUGGCAAGCGUUGUCCGGAUUUACUGGGUGUAAAGGGCGUGCAGCCGGAGAGGCAAGUCAGAUGUGAAAUCCGCGGGCUCAACUCGCGAACUGCAUUUGAAACUGCUUCCCUUGAGUAUCGGAGAGGUAAUCGGAAUUCCUAGUGUAGCGGUGAAAUGCGUAGAUAUUAGGAGGAACACCGGCGGCGAAGGCGGCCUGCUGGACCGUAACUGACGUUGAGGCUCGAAAGCGUGGGGAGCAAACAGGAUUAGAUACCCGAGUAGUC
rnacentral:rRNA from 1 species